GUGUCGCCGACCGGGUGUGACGUCACCAGUGACCCUCUCUGACCAGGCGUGACAUCAGCAGUGACCCUGGGAAUCAGGUGUGGCGUCACUGACCAGGUGUGACAUCACUGACCGAGCGUGUGAGAUCAUCACCGCCAUCACUGGCCGCGUGUGACGUCAUCGACCAGGUGUGACAUCAGCAGUGACAUCACCAUCCAGGUGUGACAUCCCCGGUGCCGCCGCACUCCAGGUGCGGCCGCCGUGUCCCCGCCAUGCUGCGCCAGGCCCGGGCGCUGGUUCGGGCUCUGCCCCGCGUCCUCCCGCGUGUCCCGCGCGUCCCGCGCGUCCCCCUGUGCCAGCGCGUCCCGCGUCCCCCGCGCGACCUGUCCGAGCCCAACGGCGGCUGGAGCGAGCGCAUGCGGCGCCACUACGGGCACCUGCUGAGCGCCGCCCGCGCCGAGGGCUGGGCGCGGCUGGCGUCCUUCCGGGG